GGACUACCCGGGUAUCUAAUCCUGUUCGCUCCCCACGCUUUCGCUCCUCAGUGUCAGUGCCAGCCCAGAGCGCCGCCUUCGCCGCUGGUGUUCCUCCUGAUAUCUGCGCAUUUCACCGCUACACCAGGAAUUCCACGCUCCCCUACUGGACUCUAGUCACGACAGUAUCGGGUGGCGUCUCCAGGUUGAGCCUGGAGGUUUCACACCCGACUUAUCGAACCACCUACGAGCUCUUUACGCCCAAUAAAUCCGGACAACGCUCGCCCCCUACGUGUUACCGCGGCUGCUGGCAC
rnacentral:rRNA from 1 species